rnacentral:rRNA from 1 species
UACGUAGGUGGCAAGCGUUGUCCGGAUUCACUGGGCGUAAAGCGCGCGCAGGCGGUCUUCUACGUCUGGGGUGAAAACCCGGGGCUCAACCCCGGGACUGCCUUGGAUACGGGAAGACUUGAGGAUCGGAGAGGCAAGGGGAAUUCCACGUGUAGCGGUGAAAUGCGUAGAGAUGUGGAGGAACACCUGUGGCGAAGGCGCCUUGCUGGCCGAUUUCUGACGCUGAGGCGCGAAAGCUAGGGGAGCAAACGGG